AAUCCUCAAUUCGUUGAAAACAUAUCUAUCACUCUGAAGUUUUUGAAAUUGAACGUAGUGGAAGAACGAUUUAAAGAAAAAAAAAAAAAAAAGGAAAAAAGAAAGCACCAUGAAGAUAUUUUAUCUUAUUUACUUGUUCCUCGUCAUUUUGACCUGCUUUUCUUUCACUAAUGCGAGUUGCACGGAGGAUGAAUGCAAAGCCGCUUGUAAAUACGUUGGUAGUAUUCCUGGCGGAAAAGGUGGCAAGUACUGCGUUAAUGGUGCGUGCAGAUGUGCUACUGUGCGUCCAUAAUGAUUAAAAUACGAGCUAAUAGUAACAAUGAUACUUAUCGUUGUUAUAACUUAUAUACCAACAAUCGCUAUGAUCAACAGACGUCUCUCUCAUCGUUUGUCAUUGUAAGCCCCCAUUUCUAUGUAAUUUAAAAUAUAAAGUGAAAUCGAUUUAAUCACCCUCAACAGCUGUUUCACUCACAGCUCUUGACACAGAUUAUAAUCGUUCAUUAAUAAUUAUGUA